UGGGGAAUAUUGCACAAUGGGCGCAAGCCUGAUGCAGCCAUGCCGCGUGUAUGAAGAAGGCCUUCGGGUUGUAAAGUACUUUCAGUCGGGAGGAAGGUGGUAAGGUUAAUAACCUUAUCAAUUGACGUUACCGACAGAAGAAGCACCGGCUAACUCCGUGCCAGCAGCCGCGGUAAUACGGAGGGUGCAAGCGUUAAUCGGAAUUACUGGGCGUAAAGCGCACGCAGGCGGUUGAUUGAGUCAGAUGUGAAAUCCCCGGGCUUAACCCGGGAAUUGCAUCUGAUACUGGCAAGCUUGAGUCUCGUAGAGGGGGGUAGAAUUCCAGGUGUAGCGGUGAAAUGCGUGGAGAUCUGGAGGAAUACCGGUGGCGAAGGCGGCCCCCUGGACGAAGACUGACGCUCAGGUGCGAAAGCGUGGGGAGCAAACAGG
rnacentral:rRNA from 1 species